AGACGAUUGAACAAUACUAAACAUGUCCGGAAGAGGCAGAGGCGGCGGCAAAGGACUCGGGAAUAGAGGUGCUAAGCGUCACCGCAAAGUUUUGCGUGAUAACAUCCAGGGAAUUACCAAAUCCACUAUUCGUCGUCUCGCUCGCCGUGCCGGUGUCAAGCGUAUUUCCGGUCUGCUCUAUGAGAAGACCCGUGGUGUUGUUAUGGUGUUUUUGGAGAACGUGAUCCGUGAUGCAGUUACCUACACUGAGCACGCCAAGAGAAAGACCGUCACCGCCAUGGAUGUCCUGUACGCUCUGAAAAGACAAUGGGUUCUUCAGUGAAGGAAAACUACAACAGUGGAACCUCAUACAUUAAACAUCCACAUGCCAAUUAACUGAAAAAUUUCAAGCAAUACUUCAUGCUCCAUCCCAGUAGGGGGAUUAAAUGCACCACUGCUGGCUUGGCAACCACCAUUAAACUCAAAAGAACAAGAAGACCAAGAGGAAGAGAAAUGCUGUUGGAAACAAUUGGAAAUAAGAUGUAAACAACUGAAAAUGAUAUAUUGGGCAUCAUUAAAAGGGGCAGAAUAAUGAACGACCAACAAAAAGGCAAUAUUUUGAAAAAGUUGGGAAAAAAUAACUACUAAAAAUAUUGGACAGGAAAUGGAUGAAAUGGCAGAAUCUAUUAAUGUAAUCAAUAAACAUCUGAUUUGAUUAUGCAUGGACUGUGUGAUAUGUAUAUAAAGAUCUUUACUAACAUUGUCAAUUGAGACUUUUAGCAGUUUUGUCGUGGGUGCUUGGUCAUUUUGGUGUGGUUGGUCACACACAAAAAAAUACAUAAAAAUAAAUAAAUAAUCUGAGAAUUGGUCAUUCUACCCUCAACAAAUCACUUCAAAUGAUAGGGAAACAUGAUUCUGGUCAAUGCAAUUGUUGUGGACUUCCAGAAACCACAGAGUAUGUAUUAAUCAAUUGUAAAAAAAAAAAAAAAAAAAAAAAAAAAAAGGAGAGAGAGAGAAUAAGAAUAUAAAAAAACAGCUAAAAGCCAUCUCGAUCAAAAAGGCGAUAAUACAAAUACUUUUCUUCAAACCCGCUAAAAUACCAGCCUCAGCCCAAUCAGAAGUACCGGUACUUGAUAAAAAUGCAUUUUUUUUUUUUUUAAAGAAAGACGUCAGAUGGUUUCAGCUGGUUUUGCAUCUGAACACUUCAUAUAGAUUUUCUCCUGUUAUCAAUGCCUCACACUCCAUCCCAUUAGGUGGCGGAAUAUGCACCAAAGCUAGUUUACCAUCCGACAUUAACGUCAAAGAAGAAGAACAAGAGGAAACAGUUUGCUAGCCGCCAAAAAACGAAAAGAACGCAAAGAAAAAUCAGAAACUGUAUCGACUUUUCAUCACGAUGCCACGCCACGCACGGAAGGAAGCUGCCCAGACCAAUCUGGACAGUGAGGAAGAAUGCAGCCUUUUGUCGGAAGAAGGAGAAUAUGACGAUGAACGCUUGCAUUUUGAGGAGAGAUUAGAUCCAGCGGAAGAUACAAUAUCCAAAUGGAUAAUUUGUGUGUUUCGAGUAGAUCCGAUUAAUUAAAAAUAGGAGCUGUUUUUAAACCCUCCUUGGUGUAUUUUUUAAUUUUUUUUUCUAUGAGUGAGUGCUCUGAUUUCGAUUUACAAGUGGUUCUGUUUGCAACGUGUUGAGCACUGUAGCCAAUCACAGGCAUGUCUGUUGACCGCAAUGGCCAAUCAGAUUUCGCCAGAAUUAGGUUAGUCCAAGUAUCAUCAAAGAACAGCCAGGUUUUGUUUACACAGAUUUACCAAGUUCUACAUGCUCGGAAUUCCUCACAUUAUAGCAAACAAAGCAUAGAGAUUGCGUAUUCGUUGUGAAGUGUGUAGUUGGAGUCAUUAUUUAUAACAGGAGUUUGUGCGCGAGCUUGCUCGCUUUCUGUAUAAUCCAUUCGCAAUAUCAGCCCAGCAAACACAAAACGUUUUUUACAACUUUUCACAACGUUGUAUUUUGGUUGCAAUUAGGUAAUGUUGUAGUACAACGUUUUAAAAACGUUUUAAAAAUGUUUUUUUUUUAAAAAAAAAAAAAAAAGUUACCAAAACAAAACGUUUUAUAAACGUUGUAAAAAUACCAACCUGGAACGUUUUCUUUAAGUAGUCAAAAAAACGUUAAUAUCACGUUCGUCCACUACGAAAAUGAAACCAGACCAAACUACAACUUUCGGAGGACGUUUUAUUCAGGUGUUAAAAUAACGUAAUAUGCACGUUGGAAUAAAACGUUUUAAAAACGUCAUAAAAGUACCCAAAUACAACCUUGCAAAAACUAAGUUCUUAAAAGUAUUUAAAAGUAGUAUGUGAAUAAUUACUUUCAGUUGUAUUUGCUCAUUUAAUAAUAUCACAUUCGUCUACUACGAAAAUGAAACCAGACCAAACUACAACUUUCGGGGGACGUUUUAUUCAGGUGUUAAAAUAAAGUAAUAUGCACAUUGGAAUAAGACGUUUUAAAAACGUCAUGAAAGUACCCAAAUACAACCUUGUAAAACUGUUCUGUUCAUGUAAAAAUAUCAGUAAAAUAACAGUGAUAUUUUAACAUUAACGCACUUCAGUGACUGAGUAACAGAUAGUCUGAGCAAUAUAAGGACUUAAAAGUAAUAUGUGAACCCUUACUUUAAGUUGUCUUUGCUCAUUUAAUAAUACCGUAUAUUCAUAUAUCACGAGCUAACAGCUCAGUGUGUGUAACGCCAGGCCGGCAGAGGGAGCCCUCACCCACUGACUGACUGUUGUUGCUCCCUCUGCUGCUUCAUUGGUAGCUUCCUGUUUGGUGGCAAUAAAAGGAGGCUAUUUUAAACAGGAAGCUGCGAAGUAUUGUUUUGCUAUUGCGGACUCUACCAAGCGUUGUUUCCCUGUUUUCAUUGCUCGGUUUUGUAUUUGCCACGGUUUUGUUUUAUAGUCAUAGUUUUUGUCUUUGUUUUUGCCUCAGUUUUGCCUCAGUUUUGCCUCAUUUCAUUGCCAUAGUUUUGUCUUGGUUCAUAUCCUUGUUUAUUUGUUACUUUUGAACUGCUCUCUCUGGUUUAUGGACUGCGCCUGUUUUUGUGGACUACGAUAUUGUUUUGCCUUGUAUGUAACUGUUUGUUUGGAUAUCGACCCUGCCUGUCUUGACUACGAUCUGUUCAAUAAAGCUCGCACAUGGAUCUUAUAUGCUUCCCAGAGUCCUCGUUACAGAGUGUAAACCAGUCUGUGGUAUAAACAAACAAACGGUGGGAGAGAGGUAUUAACACAUGAGCAGAAAUGACUGGUUGGUUAAAAAAUAUUUUAAAAAAAAAGUAUUUUUUACAAAGGUCAUGACAGUAUGCAACCGUGCCAAAACUCCCUUUGUACGUGAUGUUUGUUUUUAAUGUGUUUUGCUAUAGAUAGCCCACUUAUUCUACACAAUGUUUACAAUUUCUGGUAUGUUUUUCGUUAGGUAGCUAAAUAAGUAAAUAAA